GGUUAGGCGCGCUCCAUAUCCUGCUCCAAAUCCUAUUAUGACCCGACUAUAUUUAUACGCAGUUAUGUAAUUUGUUUUCCAAAACCCUAGAGAACCAUCUCCGUUUUCCUUCAUCUCCAUCUCCAUUCUGGUUCAAAGGAUCAAGCAUGAGGGUUUCACCGUCUUCUCCCUCUCUUCGCAUCGCCUCUCAAACAUCUUCAUCCAAGAUUGGAUCACCGAUGAUAGCAGAUUCUCUACAAACACAAAUCAGUUGUUGAUAAACAAUGAAUUUUAGGGAUAAUAAUAAAGAUGAAAGGUCCGAUAGAGAUCUUUGAAACCGUUUCUUCGUACCGGCAGUUGGUACCGUAUCACAAUUUAGUUGAGACAUUGAUAAAAAGAUAAAUUUGUUUCAUCUGAUGUAUUAUUUUUUGUUUAUAUGUGAGCAGGUUG